CGGCGGACGGGUGAGUAACGCGUGGGUAACCUACCCCAAAGUCCGGGAUAACAGCGGGAAACCGCUGCUAAUACCGGAUGUCUUUACCUUGGGGCAUCUUGAGGUAAAGAAAGGUAACGCUUUGGGAUGGGCCCGCGUCCCAUUAGCUAGUUGGUGAGGUAACGGCUCACCAAGGCGACGAUGGGUAGCCGGCCUGAGAGGGUGGACGGCCACACUGGGACUGAGACACGGCCCAGACUCCUACGGGAGGCAGCAGUAGGGAAUAUUGCGCAAUGGACGGAAGUCUGACGCAGCGACGCCGCGUGAGCGAUGAAGGUCUUCGGAUCGUAAAGCUCUGUCCUUGGGGAAGAAGGUCUUCGGACUUGACGGUACCCAAGAAGAAAGCCCCGGCUAACUACGUGCCAGCAGCCGCGGUAAUACGUAGGGGGCGAGCGUUGUCCGGAAUUACUGGGCGUA
rnacentral:rRNA from 1 species